rnacentral:rRNA from 1 species
AAUGCUGACAUAAGUAACGAUAAAGCGGGUGAAAAGCCCGCUCGCCGGAAGACCAAGGGUUCCUGUCCAACGUUAAUCGGGGCAGGGUGAGUCGACCCCUAAGGCGAGGCCGAAAGGCGUAGUCGAUGGGAAACAGGUUAAUAUUCCUGUACUUGGUGUUACUGCGAAGGGGGGACGGAGAAGGCUAUGUUGGCCGGGCGACGGUUGUCCCGGUUUAAGCGUGUAGGCUGGUUUUCCAGGCAAAUCCGGAAAAUCAAGGCUGAGGCGUGAUGACGAGGCACUACGGUGCUGAAGCAACAAAUGCCCUGCUUCCAGGAAAAGCCUCUAAGCAUCAGGUAACAUCAAAUCGUACCCCAAACCGACACAGGUGGUCAGGUAGAGAAUACCAAGGCGCUUGAGAGAACUCGGGUGAAGGAACUAGGCAAAAUGGUGCCGUAACUUCGGGAGAAGGCACGCUGAUAUGUAGGUGAAGUCCCUCGCGGAUGGAGCUGAAAUCAGUCGAAGAUACCAGCUGGCUGCAACUGUUUAUUAAAAACACAGCACUGUGCAAACACGAAAGUGGACGUAUACGGUGUGACGCCUGCCCGG